UAACCCUACGGGAGGCAGCAGUGGGGAAUAUUGGCCAAUGGGCUUACGCCUGAACCAGCCAAGUCGCGUGAGGGAAGACUGCCCUAUGGGUUGUAAACCUCUUUUGUCGGGGAGCAAGACCCGCCUCGUGCAGGCGGAGCGAGAGUACCCGAAGAAAAAGCAUCGGCUAACUCCGUGCCAGCAGCCGCGGUAAUACGGAGGAUGCGAGCGUUAUCCGGAUUUAUUGGGUUUAAAGGGUGCGCAGGCGGACCAUCAAGUCAGCGGUAAAAUCGUGGGGCCCAACCCCAUCCCGCCGUUGAAACUGG
rnacentral:rRNA from 1 species